GGCAAGAUGGCCGAGUUGGUUAUGGCGUGAGGUUAAGGCUUCACCUUAGCACGAAUUCCUCAUGGAGCAAUCCGCGUGGGUUCAAGUCCCACUCUUGUCA